GGUCUCCAGCUCUGCUUGGCCCCUCCGGGUUUUGUUUUGGGGAGGCCGUGGGGGGAAUUCUGUUCCCGCCGCUGCGCCCCGGCUUCCACCGCCCACGCCGCCCCAGGAAGCCCCGCGGAAGCUGACGCGCACGUGGCGCCGCGCGUGGCCGGGGGCGGGUUGGGCGAAGCGCGAGGACGGAGCGCACGCGGCUGGGCGACUGUUGGAAAAACUGGCCUCUCGCCGCCCCGCCCUUCGCCGCCGCCUCCCCGGGCCUGCCGCUGCCCUCCCGCUGUCCGGCCCAGGGCUCAGGUCACGCAGAGGGGGACCCGGUCCCCGUCCAGCCCUCGGGCCGUCGGGGAGCUGGGCCGCCACAUCCCAACCGGAACAGAAGUAGCCGUGAAAGUCAUCCCAAAGGAGGAGCAGAUCUUCUCCAGAGCGAGGGCACCUUUCUGCAAAGUCCACAGCCUGAAGGCCUUGCGUCACCCGAACAUCACCCAACACCCAGCCGUCAGGUUGUUUGAAGUGAUUGACACUGAGAAGAUGUUGUAUCUCACCGAGCACGUCCGCGGGGGAGACCUGUACCAUCACCUGACAAGCAUGGCCCUAUGACUGAGGAGGAGGCCCAGGGAAUGUUCCGGCAGCUGCCCUCGGCCCUCCAGUGCUGCCACCGCAAGGGCAUCGUGCACGGGGACCUGACGCUGGGACAGUGCUGCUUGACACUGGGCUCGGCAUGAAGCUGGCAGACGUGCUGCUCAUCACCAUGUUCCUGGGCCACAGGCUGAGCACGGGCCGCAGCAGCCCCUGGGGCACGGCCUGGAGGUCCUCCAGGGCGAGGACUAGGAGGGGCCCCUGGCAGACGUCUGGAGCCCUGGCGUGCCGCUCUACGCCGUGCUCUCCGGCUCCCUGCCCUUCCCGGGGAACAACUCCAGGUGGUACCCACCCGCCAUGCCCCUGCUGUGCGAGGACAGGAGGUUCCUGCAAAAACUGAUGACCUCGACCCCAGCACGAGGAGCUUGAGAGACAUCCUGAAGGACCAUAUGUGCUGGGUCACUAUGGGAGACCCAGGCCUUACAGGGAGCUGCCCUGCGACAGCGGG
rnacentral:lncRNA from 1 species